GAGAAAAUCUUGAACGGUGAAGAGCUACAAUUCCCUGUUGGCCAAAAAGAUGUGGCAGAGUUACGUCGGCAGAUUGCCACAACUCUUCUUCGGGAAUCUGAUAAUCUGACAAACCUCUGCUUCAACUGUGGAGAGGAAAAAGCAGAUGACAGUGGAGAGGCAGAGCUGACAUGGAUAUCCUGUGAUGCCUGUGGACGGUGGUUUCACCAUGCAUGCGUUGGAAGGCCAAAGACAGAGGACAAUUUUUUAUGUGCAGCAUGCUAAAGGAAAGGAAAGGAAUUUCAUGUAUAUAUAUAAAAUAAGACAUUUUCUAUUGACAGUUUAUUUUUCAUUUUUUUAAUUAUUUUGAUGUUUUUGUUGAUGCGUUAAAUAUUGCAAAUGUUGCCAUUUAAUUUUGUGUUGAUUGGAUUUGAAUAAUAACAGUUUGUUCUAAAAAGUUAGUUAUUAAAGUCUUUAAUACUUG